CCUAGAGUUGUAGGCUUUGCCUGCUAUCUCUUACCCAUGUCUUUUGAAGUACUUACGUUUCUCGGCGGGUCCGCCCGCCGAUUGGACAAUUUAAACCAUUUGCAGUUGCAAUCAGCGUCUGAAAAACUUUAUAGUUA
rnacentral:misc_RNA from 1 species